AUUUUCGUAAUCUCCUCCUCCCCCUGAUCAUCCCCAUGUAAGUCUUUCAUCACGAUUUUGUGUGUAGAACGCUAGAUCAAGGUUUGACUUUUUCGACGUCCCUGAUUUGAUCUAGGAUCUGAUCGUGCGUCCGAGAUUUAAUCCAACUUCAAAGCUUGAUCUAGGACUAUCUAGGCCGAACCAGACUUAGCUCCAGGUACUUGACGGUUUGAGUUGACGAGCGUUUGGAAUAUCGUUAUAUUUGACUUUUUAGAAGACGCAGCUGGAUUAGAGCGGGUAAUCUCACAGGUCAGGAGAAUCAGGCAGUGAUCGUGCAGUUUAGAGUACUAGUAUUAGAUUUACAGCAAUUGUUUUGUGAGGAGAAUUAUACUCAUUUGAGUUUUACAAUUUGAUUUGGUGAGAGUGUGCUGUAAUAAGUAGCUCGAGGAUUUGGUUUAUGUAAUAUCAAGAGGUGUAACUAGUGGUUGUUUAUGAGAGAAAAAUUCAGAACGUUAUUUGUAUUGUUAUUAGUCAUGUUUCGGAUUUGAAUCCUUAUUUCAAAAUUCGGGGUGUGACAUUUAU